UGAACUAACCAGUACCCCAGAGCUCUUGAC
rnacentral:piRNA from 1 species